rnacentral:tRNA from 1 species
GGAGCAGUAGCUCAGCGGUAGAGCCCUGCUUCGUACGCGGGAAAACCUGGGUUCGAUUCCCGGCUGCUUAC